UCAGGAUCAGAGUAGUCAUUAACUCUUCCCACAGUCCGGCCGCAUUGUUCAAUUUUCUUGGAACGCCACCACAAGGCCACGCCGCUUCUCGGCCGUUCCCCAUUCCAGACCCGGCCAGAGACUCCAAAGCAGAGCUCUCCCUGCUUCCCGAUUCACGCCCAGUAAGACGACCCGAAAUACCAGCUGCCCCGUUCCCGGCUCUACGUGGGGGGACGAUCCAGCCCGUCUUCUCCCCCCCUUCAAUACACCUUCUGAGGUGCGAACGACCGAAGCAAGAAAUGGCCAAAUUAAAAUCCCCUUUCCUUGA